UUAACUUUUGGUGUAAUGGCACGUUAAAUUUUGAUUUUAAAUGGAACAAUUCGUAUUGUUAAAGUUAAU
rnacentral:tRNA from 1 species